rnacentral:rRNA from 1 species
UUUGACGUUAGCGGCGGACGGGUGAGUAACACGUGGGUAACCUACCUAUAAGACUGGGAUAACUUCGGGAAACCGGAGCUAAUACCGGAUAAUAUUUCGAACCGCAUGGUUCGAUAGUGAAAGGUGGUUUUGCUAUCACUUAUAGAUGGACCCGCGCCGUAUUAGCUAGUUGGUAAGGUAACGGCUUACCAAGGCGACGAUACGUAGCCGACCUGAGAGGGUGAUCAGCCACACUGGAACUGAGACACGGUCCAGACUCCUACGGGAGGCAGCAGGC